AGUGAACGCUGGCGGUAGGCCUAACACAUGCAAGUCGAACGGCAGCACAGUAAGAGCUUGCUCUUACGGGUGGCGAGUGGCGGACGGGUGAGGAAUACAUCGGAAUCUACUUUUUCGUGGGGGAUAACGUAGGGAAACUUACGCUAAUACCGCAUACGACCUACGGGUGAAAGCAGGGGAUCUUCGGACCUUGCGCGAUUGAAUGAGCCGAUGUCGGAUUAGCUAGUUGGCGGGGUAAAGGCCCACCAAGGCGACGAUCCGUAGCUGGUCUGAGAGGAUGAACACCCAGCUGGUACUAGAGAACGGUCCGAGACCCUGGGGGGGGGAACCGGGGGGGAAUAUUGGAGAAGGGGGCAGAGCUGGAUCCACCCAUACCGGGGGGAGAAAGAGGCCCUGUGGUUGCGAAAGCCUUUUUGGGGGUAAAAAAGAGAAGCUGUUUAACCCCCCGUUGUUAUGACGGUACCGAAAGAAUAAGCCCCGGCUAACUUCGUG
rnacentral:rRNA from 1 species